CUCAAGCAGAGAAGCAGGGAGGGCGGACACUCUUGCCACCAAGCCUGGUGACCCGAGUUCAGCCCUGGCGCCCCCACCAGGUGGAGGAAGAGAACUGCUUCUGCAGAGCGUCCUCUGACCUCCUCAGGGUUGCAGAACUGUCUCAGAGAGGUUGGAGAGUAGAGCUGCAUCGCACAGAUGGGGUGCCAGUUCAGCUGCCUAGGCUUGGCUCCGCGCCCCUUCAUGCAGGAAGGGAAGGUUUUGAAGAACACUGCUGGGUUGUCACCUGUAUGCGCUUUGUGCACAUUUGUGUUGCACAUUUACAUGUGUGUGAACACGUGCGUGUGCAGGCGAGUGUACAUGGAAAUUGAUGCCGGAAGACAUCCUCUCCUGCUCUGCUUUCUUAGGCUGCCACAUCCACUUGUCGUCUCUGUCAUCUACAUGGGUUCCGGGGAAUUGAACUCUGUUCUCAUGCUUGUGUGGGAGGUGUUUUAAUCACCAGGCCAUCUCUCCAGCCCCAAGGGGUUAUUAUUUCUAACGAGGAAGAAAGAACUGUGUUCAAUUCAGCAAACAUUGAGAGCAUUUUGCUUUCAAAGGCUCUACAGGACUUUCUACAAGCUGGGAAGAUGAAGGCAGAUCCUGGUUUUGGAAAUUUGAACAUACACAGGCCAUGGUAAUUGGGAUAGGGGCCUUUAACUCGAAGAAUACAGAGUAUGCAUAAAAUUUGUUAUGACAUACUGAGUAAAGAAAGCCAAACGAAUUCUAUAUCUUAGGAAGCUGACAAUGCAACAUCAUAAAAUAACAGACUGUUAUAUUAAUUAAUUAUCUGCCAUAUAGCUGUUAGACUCAUCCAGUUUCUUUGGAUUUGUUUUCUUUGGUCAUCUUUAUGAAGAAGAAAAUUUUGUAACUACAUCUUUUCUAAAGAAAACAUAAUCAUUACAUCUUUUCUUGGGCCAGGUUUUGAAAUUUGUUUACGUAAAGUUGUAAACUUAGCUUGGUAAUGUCAUUCAACAUUGGAGGGCUGAAUUUAGAAUAAUUUCUAUCAAGUUACUGCAAACUAUAAAAUUUGAAAGAAUGUUCCCCAGGCUGCCUUCUGACUCCACAUUCCAAACUGGUUUUAGGUUUAAGAACGGGCGAUUAUGGUGCACAAGCCUGUUACAAAUUUCUACUAUGAUGCGGACUGAUACCUUCAUGCCACGAUGCAGGGUGAGUGCUAACUGUGUGGGAGCCUUUCUGGAAGCCAUUUUCUAAAUCCAGGAGACUGGCGAUAACUCCAUAUAGAGACAUUCAGAAAUCAAAUCUCAUAGCACACAAGCAGAAGUUCCUUCAAUAUGGCCCCAUUACGAUGGUGUGAAGUGCUCCCUUGACUCUCUGGGUCAACAGUCUCUCUGUGUUUCUUCUGUGUUGUGCUCCUUCUUUGAAUGGCUGGCCAGCACUGGUGUUCUGUGGCAGGUCUCUGAACAAAGGGCGCACUCUGAUUCAAGUGCUAGAGAUCCGAGGAAAGCACAUUGGUGGAGAGGCUGCCAUGGCAGCAUUUAGUGGAGGAAUUACAGUUGUUACUCUUCAGGGUCUAUUUUACUCUGCCUGGGAAAGUUAAUGUGUUUCACGGUUGCUACCGGGACAGGACGUGGGCCCUGAGAGAACUUGGCUCAACAAUGGCUGUCUUAUGAAACAGUCAUUGGCUUUAUGACCACCUAAGGAACCACUAAAGAGGUUUAAAAAAACAAAACAAAACAAAACAAAACAAAACAAAACACAGAGCUAGUGUGAAACUACCUUUUCUCCCUUCUAUUCAGAAGGGAAUAGAUAAGGCUGCACAGACCCGGGACCUGUUCCUUAACAAGCAUCCCUAAUUAAUAUCAAGGCCAGUUGGAUGCCCGAGAAGUCACUGUGGAGCCAUGAGCCUGAGUGGCCACAAAACACAGCUGGCCCCGUCACUGGCCAUGCAUUUGUUAUGAUCAGGACUGUUUUAGGUGCUGUUCUCUUUAAUGCCACCUGAAUUUCACCUUCCCCCAACCCCCUUUCCUUUGAAUUGCUGCCAAAGUAACUAGAGUCAUAUAACUUUAGGGCUGGGAGCCCAGGGAGGAACGUUAGGCUGCCGAUGAGCCAGGCAUGGGAGAGGCUUGGAAGGCAACCUCGAAAGAGCACUCUGGUCCCACACAUUUGCUUUGCAUUGCCUGGUGCUGGCUAAUGUUGGAAGAACUGGGACUUUCUGUGCCCCACAGAGCAAGAUAAAACCCCAGCAAAGGGGUGUUGAUUUAAUUUAGAAAGCCUCUGGGUUUCAUUAAAUACUGAACAGAUCGUGCCAUUUACAAGUCUUGUGACACUUAAAGAUGCUAGCAAUGAUUUUUAACAUGCUGGACAAGGUCUGUGAGAAGCAGCUGCCAGGACAAGGCCAGGGCUUUGAAAAUGAGGUACAUCUGCAAAUAAUCCCCUUUGUGUCUGUUACCUGCAGUUUCUCCCUUUCUUUGUAUUGUUGGGCCCUUACAUUCAUUAAACAGCAUCCCUUUUCUGUCCUUAGAAUGCUAUUAUUAUAAUACUAUGUAUUACUGGGAGUCAAAGUGGAUGAGAAGGCUUGGCAGAAUUGCUACUCCUGAAAUUUUAAAACAUUUUUUUUUAAAACGUUGUAUAGUAUGUGACAUUGGUGACCUCAUCCAGGACAGUGUAGUGAAGAUAUCCUGCAGUUUUGAAUCUGAAAGCUCAAAUUUUCAGAUACUUUGGGUUAGAAACUAGAACAACACAUCCUGUGGAUUUUCCCAUGCUCUGAAAGAUGCAGUACACUUAUAGUAUGUAUCAGUAGGCACAGCCAUUCUUUCCCCUUGCCAGGAAAACCAACAAUAUUCACAGGAAAAUCAUUUCCUUUUCUGCCAACUGCACAGCCAGGUUCUGUUCCUGACCUCUCAAAUGAGCAGCAUUACUCCAUAGAAACAAAUUCUCUUACAUUGACAAGCAAUAUAAACCCAUGUAUUGAUUCUACACUGCCAUUACGUGCUGGUCAUGAUAACGGAACACCAGGCCAUUUGUGUGCUGCGAUGGACACACAAUUGGUUAUGGAGAGAGAAGAUCGUAUUCCUUCUUAUACAUUAUCCAUAAAGGAAAAUACACAGGAAAUGUGGCAAGCUCAAGCUACCCCAGAAGAAGAAACGCAUGUUGGUAACUUUCCAAGGCUCCUCGAUAGAAAUGAGAACCAAAUGAUGCUGACCUGAAAAGCCCAAGACCCCAGUAGGCAAUGAGAUCCUAGGGGUCCCAGGAAGCAGAAAAUGAGAGCUACGGUCCACACUGGCUUUUAAAAUUUCCGAGCACACAUCUCCCUGAGUGAGAUUUGGGACUCAGAUGCUUCAGUGGAAAUGAAGCAGACUUUCGGGAGGUCUGGUUUCAAGGGUGCUCCGAGAGCUGAAUGUUAAAUUUUUAUUUGUUCCAGAAAGUGUUGGCAACUUGGUACAGCAAAUUUGAUCAGCACCAUACGUCCGACCUGUUUCGGUAAUGAUGCCACGAAUGUGACUAGGCUGCAGAGCAGCUUGUGUUCGCGAGGAAGUGACAGGCACAGGAAGGAGCGAGGCUGGCAACCCUGAAACUGUUCCUAAUUGUGCGUGGUGGGGAAGGGGUGCUGCUGACUUACAGAGCAGAGUGUUGGCUGGAAGAAAGGACUGAUCAGCAGGGCUGGCAGGAAGAAUGGAGACUCCGGGACAGGAAGAAUGUCACAACAGAAGAGAUGGGAAUCUAGAGAAACCUGGAUCAGAGAAGACACACGAAACCAUAAAAUAAAUUGAUCCACUUUUCCCUACAUAGAGGCUGGUGAGGAGCCCAAAGGAGCCUUCUGUGGGGGUUCUGGGGAGGGACUGUCCUAGAGGGGCCCAGCUGUGAGCUAGAUAGAAACUUUCCAGAAGUCAGAGGCAAGCUUGCUUCCUCUUCUUGAAGGAGCAUUUCCUUAGGUUCUGGAUUGAAAGAAAUAACCCAUCUUCCUUCCUCGCCACACGGGUCUCCUAGUAGACAUCUAAGGAUUGAGCGUGUUUCCUGGAUACAAUCCUCUCUUAAAAUUGGAAUUUUGGUGUUGUUGAUGUGAAAACCAUGUUUACUGGAAGAUUACUAUCAGCAUGUGUCUCACCUGUGUUGGUGAGGCUGAGAUUUACUGGACAUUUUCAACACAGGCCUGUGAUGGAAAGAAGAGGUAGAAAGAAGAGGUGGUUGCUGGCUUUGACAAAUGCUAGUUUUCCACAGCAGUGGCCCCCCACAGAGACUGCUUUGAACCCACAGAAGAUGCCCUCAGUUGUCCAGAGGAGGACAGUGGAGGAUGAGAAUAUUUGGAGGGGGGCUUAUUAUCUGAGCCCUUUCCUACCUUCCCCAGGUCACAGGGUCUCCAUCUUGAGGGAAAAUGUUGUUCCAUGAGAGUCCAGCAUACUUUGAUGUAUGUGGUAGAUGAUCCUAGCUGUCAACUUGAUAGGAUGUUGAAUCACCUAAGUGACAAACUUGUGGCCAUGUCUGAGAGGCUCUUUCUGAAUUGGGCCUAUUGAAGUGAGGAGACUCACACCCUAAUUGGUUGGUCUGACUGUAAAGGAGAGAGUUGUACCAGCAUCUAAUUCUCUCUACUUCCUGACUAACUGCCUCACAUUUGUGCUGUCAUGACUACCAUAAUAGAUGGUACCCUCAAACUGUGAGCCAAAAUAAAUCCUUCUGUGGUGGUUUAAAUGAAAACGGACUCCAUAGGCUCACUUGUUUGAAUGUUUGGGCCUCAGUUAGUGGAAAUGUUUGGGAAGGAUUAGGAGGUGUGACCUUUCUAGAGGAGGUUUAUCACUUGGGGAGGGCUUCAACACAGCCAGGUACUCUCUCCUCUCUCCUCUCUCUCUCUCUCUCUCUCUCUCUCUCUCUCUCUCUCUCUCUCUCUCUGUGUGUGUGUGUGUGUGUGUGACUACAGCCUGUAGGUCAAGACAUAAAGCUCUCAGCCACCACCAGUCACAUGCCUAUCUGCUUCCUGCUGUGAUGAUAAUGAAUGGUCAGAAACUGUAAGCAAGCCCCCAAUUAAAUACUUUGUUUUAUUAGAGCUGUCUUGGUCAUGGUAUCUCUUCACAGCAAUAGAACAAUAACUAAGACACCUUCCUUUCUUAAUUUAUUUUUUUACUGGCUAAUUGUUACAAUGAACAAAGUAACUAGUCAUAAUGUGAUUGCUCAGAAAAACAUCAUAUAUUAAAUGAUAUAAUGACCUUGUCCCUAGAACUAAGUCUGACUCAGAGGCACCAUGUGACGUGGACUUAGACAAGGCUCCUCUGUUGUCAUGUUUGAGUUACAGGUUUGAGUUCUAGAAGCCACAAUGUGUUGACUUCUAAGUACAAGCGUGUGUGUGGGAGAGAGGCGACUUCCUGAACCAGGGCCUGACCUCUGGGGACUAUUAUGGACACUAUGCUAUUAUGGACACAUCCUGGGAAAAGAAUUUACUGACCUCUCUAUCCCAUGCUCUAUGGUCCCCACAUGGCCUUUUGUUCUUGUAGAGGAUAGGAAGUGUGGAGGCAGGAUUGUACCAUUGUUUCAUCGGGUCAUCUUGCCAGACGUGCCUGAGCCGCAGAAUCUGUGCUCUGUUUUGCAAAUCUUGUUUGGGAGGUUUUUAAGGAGUAACUUGGAUUUCCAGUACAUAGAAGAGUAUAGAGAGAAAGACAAUAUGAACCACCCAUUGAUGCAACAUUUUGCCUCAUUGUAUUUUUAUAAUUGUUAGAACUAAAGCCUUACUUAUCUGUUUUCAGUGAAGGGAAAAUAUCAAUAAUCUGAUUUUCUGGCUGUACCAAGUGGAUUCCUUAGAGUCUUCAGACAACGACAACUGUGAUAGCUAAUCUUGGUUGUCAACGUGACAGACCUGGGGAAGGGAAAACGCAUUUGAAGAAUAGCUUGCCUGUGAGCAUGUCUAUGGAGCAUUUUCUCAGCUGUUGAUUGAUGCCGAGGGCCCAGCCCACUGUGGGUGGUACCAUCCCUAGGCAGUUGGCUUUGGGUUGUAUAAGAAGGGUUAGCUGAAUGUAACCCUGAGAGCAAGCCACAAAGCAGCAUGCUUCUGAGGUCUCUGCUUCAGUUCGUCUCCAGGUUUUUCACCUUUGGUUCCUGCCCAGGCUUCUCUGGAUUAUAAACUGAAACCUGUAACCUGAAAUAAA